AACGCGAAGAACCUUACCAAGUCUCGACAUUCGGACGGCCGUGCUGUAACAGGCAAUUCCAUAUGGGGCAUUCAAGACAGGUGGUGCAUGGUUGUCGUCAGCUCGUGUCGUGAGAUACGCCAUAAGUCCCGCAACGAGCGCAAAUCAUAAGGGCCGUAGCCAGCAGGUAUCAUCCCCCCCUUCGGACAGGUUACCCGGGACAACCUGGAGGAAGGGGGGGACGACGUCAAAUGAUCAUUCACGAUAAGGGUUGGGCUACACACGGGAUACAACCCAACAUACAAAGACAAGCAACAGGGACACCCAGACCACACCACUAUAACAUCUUCUGAGGGAAAGGAAUGGUUAACAACUGGUCAGGGGGAAGUCAAGAUCUGGUAGUAAUCGUGAAUCUCAAUGUCUGGCCGAAAAAGGUCCCGGGUCUUGCACACCG
rnacentral:rRNA from 1 species